rnacentral:rRNA from 1 species
AGUGAACGCUGGCGGUAGGCCUAACACAUGCAAGUCGAACGGCAGCACAGUAAGAGCUUGCUCUUACGGGUGGCGAGUGGCGGACGGGUGAGGAAUACAUCGGAAUCUACUUUUUCGUGGGGGAUAACGUAGGGAAACUUACGCUAAUACCGCAUACGACCUGCGGGUGAAAGCAGGGGAUCUUCGGACCUUGCGCGAUUGAAUGAGCCGAUGUCGGAUUAGCUAGUUGGCGGGGUAAAGGCCCACCAAGGCGACGAUCCGUAGCUGGUCUGAGAGGAUGAUCAGCCACACUGGAACUGAGACACGAUCCAGACUCCUACGGGAGGCAGAAGUGGGGAAUAUUGGACAAUGGGCGCAAGCCUGAUCCAGCCAUACCGCGUGGGUGAAGAAGGCCUUCGUGUUGUAAAGCCCUUUUGUUGGGAAAGAAAAGCAGCAGGUUAAUACCCCGCUGUUCUGACGGUACCCAAAGAAUAAGCACCGGCUAACUUCGUG